ACUUGAGAGAUAGGGUUUUGGCACAUGUCGUGGGAGCAAAAGAUAUGAAAGCCAAUUUUGGCUUGAUAGCUUCCCUUGAGGGAUAGGGUUCUAUUACGUGUCAUGAGAGCAAUAGAAUGUGAGCCAUUUUAGGCUUUAUAGCUUUCACUAAGGGAUAGGGCUCUACCACAUGUCGUGGGAGUAAUUAUAUGAAAAUCAUUUUUGGCUUGACAGGUUCCCCUAAGGGGUAGGGCUCUACCAUAUGUCAUGGAAGAAAAACAACAAUUUUGAAUUGUGACAUGAGAGCAAGACACUUUAUCAAUUGUGGUGUAUGAUCCGCCUUUUGUUAUGGUGUUUUGAAAAUCCUUUGAAAAGUAAUUGCUGUUGAUUGCACAAUUGAAGUCUGGAUAUGGAGCUUUAAACUACAAUAGGAGAGAAUCAUGUAAGUCUCUAUGCUUACUCUUGUUUGUAUGAUUAUGGUACUUGUAGAUCUGUAAGAGAGUGGUUGAAAGAUGAUGUUGUGAUCUUUGAGGUACAAUAUGCUAUGUAUGUGACCUUUUGUAUGGUUAUUGAAGUGUGUUUAUGACCGUGCUGAUGUUUGUUGAGAAUGAUAAGCAUACUUGUUAUAGAA